AAGGUGGUGACUUUGCCUGCACAGGUUGAAGUCAGGGGAAACUCUGAUGGAGGACCGUACGGGUUAUUGAUGUGCAAAUCAUUUUUCUGAUGUAGGUAAAGGUGCGAAAGACUCAUCGAACCACCUAAUAGCUGGUUUCCUCCGAAGUUUCCCUCAGGAUAGCUGUAAUGCAUUUAGUUAAGGGGAGUAGAGAUAUGGGUAGAGGUGCAGGGAGCCUUCGGGUUCUCAACUUAUUUCCAAACUUCGAACCUCCUUGUUAGGCAUUUACCUAACUGGAAAUGCUUAAAUGAAUUAGCGUUACAAGUGGGCUCUGACCGGUAAGCGGUCAUGGCGAAAUGGGAUGAACCAUACGUCUGAAUAAGGUGCCGAAAUGUACUAUCACUGAUACCAUAAAGGGAGUCCAUGUAUUUAGACAGCAGGUCGGUGCCCCUAAAAGCAGGUAUCCGCUAAAGAGUGUGUUAAAACUCACCUGCCGAAUACUAGGGCCCCGAAAAUGAAUGGCGCAUAUAGUACUACCGAUCUCAGACAUCAGUUCUAUUGAACUGAGAGUAGGGGGAUGUGGACAUUUUUGUGAAGGUGCAAUGUGAGUUGGACUGGAAGAAUGUCUAUUACAGAUCCUAAUUGAAGUAGCGAUUAUCCAGGCUUGUAUCCUGGGGGCUGAUGAGGAGUAGGGUUUCUGGACAACUUAAACAGAUCCAGAGUUAGUCGAUCCUAAUCUCAAUAAUGGGAGAAAGGGAGUACAGUUGAUAUUCUGUAACUGACAACAGUUCGCGGCAACGCAUACUAUUUUUCUCCGCCAAUCUUAUACCGUUGGUAGGGAUCUCUUUCCUACAUGACAGUACUAAUACCCAGGGAAAC
rnacentral:ncRNA from 1 species